rnacentral:rRNA from 1 species
AGUGAACGCUGGCGGUAGGCCUAACACAUGCAAGUCGAACGGCAGCACAGUAAGAGCUUGCUCUUACGGGUGGCGAGUGGCGGACGGGUGAGGAAUACAUCGGAAUCUACUUUUUCGUGGGGGAUAACGUAGGGAAACUUACGCUAAUACCGCAUACGACCUACGGGUGAAAGCAUGGGAUCUUCGGACCUUGCGCGAUUGACUGAGCCGAUGUCGGAUUAGCUAGUUGGCUGGGUAAAGGCCCACCAAGGCGACGAUCCGUAGCUGGUCUGAGAGGAUGAUCAGCCACACUGGAACUGAGACACGGUCCAGACUCCUACGGGAGGCAGCAGUGGGGAAUAUUGGACAAUGGGCGCAAGCCUGAUCCAGCCAUACCGCGUGGGUGAAGAAGGCCUUCGGGUUGUAAAGCCCUUUUGUUGGGAAAGAAAAGCAGCAGGUUAAUACCCCGCUGUUCUGACGGUACCCAAAGAAUAAGCACCGGCUAACUUCGUG